AUGACCCAAGUUAACAAGAUUGGCAGAGGUUCUAUCUCAUACACUAAAUCUGUCAUCGAACCCAUCAUAGGUGCAUUGCAAGGGUUGAUAAUUGUUGUCAAUUCAGAAGGGGGAUUUGCCUCAUUGAAGAUACAGAUAAAAGUUUUUCUGACCUCAUAUCGAUUCUUACUUCCAUUCCUCAUGUGUCCUAUGUCUCACGUCUCUUACACGGGCAGAACGACCUGGGCCGUAGAUUAUACGGUGAACGAGGGCGGUGGCAGCACUAGAGUGAGGCAUGGCUGGUUGAGGAAUAAUUUAUUUAAAUCAUUUACUUACAGACUAAUGUUCGCUAUGCUUCUUUUAGUGAACGCUUGUAAUUUUGUUUGA
rnacentral:rRNA from 1 species